ACGGGUGAGUAAUGCAUCGGGAUCUACCCUGACGUGGGGGAUAACCUCGGGAAACCGGGACUAAUACCGCAUACGUCCUACGGGAGAAAGCGGGGGACCUUCGGGCCUCGCGCGGCAGGACGAACCGAUGUGCGAUUAGCUAGUUGGCGGGGUAAUGGCCCACCAAGGCGACGAUCGCUAGCUGGUCUGAGAGGAUGAUCAGCCACACUGGGACUGAGACACGGCCCAGACUCCUACGGGAGGCAGCAGUGGGGAAUAUUGGACAAUGGGCGCAAGCCUGAUCCAGCAAUGCCGCGUGUGUGAAGAAGGCCUUCGGGUUGUAAAGCACUUUUAUCAGGAGCGAAAUACUACGGGUUAAUAACCCGUGGGGCUGACGGUACCUGAGGAAUAAGCACCGGCUAACUUCGUGCCAGCAGCCGCGGUAAUACGAAGGGUGCAAGCGUUAAUCGGAAUUACUGGGCGUAAAGGGUGCGUAGGCGGUUCGUUAAGUCUGUUGUGAAAUCCCCGGGCUCAACCUGGGAAUGGCAAUGGAUACUGGCGAGCUAGAGUGUGUCAGAGGAUGGUGGAAUUCCCGGUGUAGC
rnacentral:rRNA from 1 species